UCUCCGUAGGUGAACCUGCGGAGGGAUCAUUACUGAGUGAGGGCCCUCGUGGUCCGACCUCCAACCCAUUGUUGUCCGACUCUGUUGCCUCGGGGGCGACCCGGCGCUUCGGCGCCAGGGGGUCCCCGCUGGUCCACACAACUCUGCAUCUUUGCGUCUGAGUCUUAUAUAUGAAUUAAAUCAAAACUUUCAACAACGGAUCUCUUGGUUCUGGCAUCGAUGAAGAACGCAGC
rnacentral:misc_RNA from 1 species